UCCGUAGGUGAACCUGCGGAAGGAUCAUUACCGAGUGAGGGCCCUCUGGGUCCAACCUCCCACCCGUGUUUAUCGUACCUUGUUGCUUCGGCGGGCCCGCCUCACGGCCGCCGGGGGGCAUCCGCCCCCGGGCCCGCGCCCGCCGAAGACACACAAACGAACUCUUGUCUGAAGAUUGCAGUCUGAGUACUUGACUAAAUCAGUUAAAACUUUCAACAACGGAUCUCUUGGUUCCGGCAUCGAUGAAGAACGCAGCGAAAUGCGAUAAGUAAUGUGAAUUGCAGAAUUCAGUGAAUCAUCGAGUCUUUGAACGCACAUUGCGCCCCCUGGUAUUCCGGGGGGCAUGCCUGUCCGAGCGUCAUUGCUGCCCUCAAGCACGGCUUGUGUGUUGGGCUCUCGCCCCCCGCUUCCGGGGGGCGGGCCCGAAAGGCAGCGGCGGCACCGCGUCCGGUCCUCGAGCGUAUGGGGCUUCGUCACCCGCUCUGUAGGCCCGGCCGGCGCCCGCCGGCGAACACCAUCAAUCUUAACCAGGUUGACCUCGGAUCAGGUAGGGAUACCCGCUGAACUUAAGCAUAUCAAUAAGCGGAGGA
rnacentral:rRNA from 1 species